UUUUUUUUUUUUUUUUUGGUGUUCAGUUUCGAUGGUGGGAUUGGAAAAUAGAGCUUGACUUGAGGACAUUUUCCUGGGGUGGCACCAUUAUUUCUUGAAAUAGAAUUUUACUCAUGGUGACACAGGCAAGCCCUUGUGAGAACCUGAAGACGGACUGAAGUCGUUUGAUGCUCAGAAGUUGGGUGCUGGCUCCCUGCCUCAUCAGUCUGAGUUAUCCUUUCAUUUUGGGGUGGGGAGGCGGGAUCCAAGAGCCGCUCAUCGGUGGAGUUCACAAGGCAAGGGGUAAAAAAAAAAAGUAGGGCAGGAAGGCAGUGGUGUGCUGGCAGAGGUCUAACAAUGGGCUCUCCAAGGAAGAGGAAAAGCUUGGUUGUGGAAUGUUUGUCAGUUUCCGUGGUGUAAAUACUCCCACCAUGGCUGACUUCAAGCUAGCAACCUGAGGUCGCUGAACUAAGAGUUGGGAAGAAGAUAGGGCACAAUAUACACUUCAGAGCCGGGGCACACUGUCAGCAGCACCCCAGGGUCAGGAGAAAGGAGAGGUGUGAAGAGAGGCGGAGAGGAGAGAGGCUGAGAGGCAUCAGAUGACGUUUCCAGCACCAGACCAGAAGAGGUGCAUACAGCCUAGACCCCUGAGGGGCACACCCUGAUCUCUAGAGCCCACAAAGAGGCUUUUAUUCAACAUAAAACAUGUUCAUCUCUCAUAGGCCUGAGUCUUGCUGGGUUCUGGGACACUAAGCCCAGGAGUGGGCCGGGUGUGGUGGCUCACACCUGUAAUCCCAGCACUUUUGGGAGGCCGAGGCAGGUGGAUCACCUGAGGUCAGGAGUUCGAGACCAGCCUGGCCAACAUGGUGAAACCCUGUCUCUACUAAUAAUACAAAAGUUAGCUGGGCAUGGUGGCACGUGCCUGUAAUCCCAGCUACUCGGGAGGCUGAGGCAGGAGAAUUGCUAGAACCCGGGAGGCGGAGGUUGAAGAGAGCAAGAGAUUGUGCCACUGCACUCCAGCCUGGGUCACAAGAGCGAAACUCCGUCUCAAUCAUAACGACAACAAAAAUAACCCAGGAGUGGCUCAAGAGUCCAGUGUGGGAUGAAAAUAUAGACAGAGGGAGACAACAUAUGUCACUGGGGAGGCUGGGGGAGCUAGACAAAAUUCACACGGGAGGAGCAGGGAUGAGAUGAUAUUGUGCCCUGGGUCUGUGCAAACGUUGGGAUCAGAAUCCACUAUAAAUUUCAUUCUUCAGAGACACUGAAGCUCUGCACUGGAGGCCGGGACUCAGGCGUGGACGAGAAUCUUCUCCUUAUUCACCAGGGAGGCUGCGUCUUGUGCAAACAAGUCAUAGAAACUUGAUGGGAGUCAGGGAGGGACUGAAGGAGGGAUGCAAGAUUCUGGGAAAGAGUGAGAAGUAAUGGAGGCCAAGGGGUCCCCAUCACAGGCCGACGGGGUAAGACUUCAAGACAGCCUGAU
rnacentral:lncRNA from 1 species